UACGUAGGGUGCAAGCGUUAAUCGGAAUUACUGGGCGUAAAGCGUGCGCAGGCGGUUUUGUAAGUUUGUCGUGAAAUCCCCGGGCUUAACCUGGGAAUUGCGAUGAAGACUGCAAGGCUAGAAUCUGGCAGAGGGGGGUAGAAUUCCACGUGUAGCAGUGAAAUGCGUAGAGAUGUGGAGGAACACCGAUGGCGAAGGCAGCCCCCUGGGUCAAGAUUGACGCUCAUGCA
rnacentral:rRNA from 1 species